GCUAGGCGUGGUGGCGCAUGCCUGUAGUCCCAGCUACUUGGGAGGCUGAGGUAGGAGGAUUGCUUGAGCCCAGGAGUCUGAGGCUGCAGUGAGCAAUGAUCAAGCCACUGCACUUCAGUCCAGCCUGGGCAACAGAGCAAGACCUUGUCUCAA
ensembl:misc_RNA Metazoa_SRP Metazoan signal recognition particle RNA